rnacentral:rRNA from 1 species
AGAGUUUGAUCAUGGCUCAGAUUGAACGCUGGCGGCAGGCCUAACACAUGCAAGUCGAGCGGUAGCACAGAGAGCUUGCUCUCGGGUGACGAGCGGCGGACGGGUGAGUAAUGUCUGGGAAACUGCCUGAUGGAGGGGGAUAACUACUGGAAACGGUAGCUAAUACCGCAUAAUGUCGCAAGACCAAAGUGGGGGACCUUCGGGCCUCAUGCCAUCAGAUGUGCCCAGAUGGGAUUAGCUAGUAGGUGGGGUAACGGCUCACCUAGGCGACGAUCCCUAGCUGGUCUGAGAGGAUGACCAGCCACACUGGAACUGAGACACGGUCCAGACUCCUACGGGAGGCAGCAGUGGGGAAUAUUGCACAAUGGGCGCAAGCCUGAUGCAGCCAUGCCGCGUGUAUGAAGAAGGCCUUCGGGUUGUAAAGUACUUUCAGCGGGGAGGAAGGCGAUAAGGUUAAUAACCUUGUCGAUUGACGUUACCCGCAGAAGAAGCACCGGCUAACUCCGUGCCAGCAGCCGCGGUAAUACGGAGGGUGCAAGCGUUAAUCGGAAUUACUGGGCGUAAAGCGCACGCAGGCGGUCUGUCAAGUCGGAUGUGAAAUCCCCGGGCUCAACCUGGGAACUGCAUUCGAAACUGGCAGGCUAGAGUCUUGUAGAGGGGGGUAGAAUUCCAGGUGUAGCGGUGAAAUGCGUAGAGAUCUGGAGGAAUACCGGUGGCGAAGGCGGCCCCCUGGACAAAGACUGACGCUCAGGUGCGAAAGCGUGGGGAGCAAACAGGAUUAGAUACCCUGGUAGUCCACGCCGUAAACGAUGUCGAUUUGGAGGUUGUGCCCUUGAGGCGUGGCUUCCGGAGCUAACGCGUUAAAUCGACCGCCUGGGGAGUACGGCCGCAAGGUUAAAACUCAAAUGAAUUGACGGGGGCCCGCACAAGCGGUGGAGCAUGUGGUUUAAUUCGAUGCAACGCGAAGAACCUUACCUGGUCUUGACAUCCACAGAACUUAGCAGAGAUGCUUUGGUGCCUUCGGGAACUGUGAGACAGGUGCUGCAUGGCUGUCGUCAGCUCGUGUUGUGAAAUGUUGGGUUAAGUCCCGCAACGAGCGCAACCCUUAUCCUUUGUUGCCAGCGGUUCGGCCGGGAACUCAAAGGAGACUGCCAGUGAUAAACUGGAGGAAGGUGGGGAUGACGUCAAGUCAUCAUGGCCCUUACGACCAGGGCUACACACGUGCUACAAUGGCAUAUACAAAGAGAAGCGACCUCGCGAGAGCAAGCGGACCUCAUAAAGUAUGUCGUAGUCCGGAUUGGAGUCUGCAACUCGACUCCAUGAAGUCGGAAUCGCUAGUAAUCGUAGAUCAGAAUGCUACGGUGAAUACGUUCCCGGGCCUUGUACACACCGCCCGUCACACCAUGGGAGUGGGUUGCAAAAGAAGUAGGUAGCUUAACCUUCGGGAGGGCGCUUA